rnacentral:lncRNA from 1 species
AACAACCAACGACACACAAGGAAGAAAAUGUCCCAAUACGGGUGCCUUGGGCCAGCUACCCCUCUGUUGACUGCAAGAACAAAGAUGGAAGUAAUGCACGUGACGGAAAACUGUGCUUGAUUACACCUAACAGGCAAAAGCUUGGAACAGGUAAUGCGUGCUACUGGGGAAAUUGUAAAAAUGGCAAAUGUGUAAAUGCAGCCUAUUCUAGAUGCGCAAUUAUGUAGGACUUGCACAACUAUGAAUAAAUAUUCAAAAAUAAAUAAAUAAAUAAAUAUUCUGUGGUCAAAUGUAUGGCUUUGCAACUACCGCCUUAAGCAGGUGGAAGUA